rnacentral:lncRNA from 1 species
AAAACCUCUCCAAGUCCACUAAAAUAAAACCUCAAACACUUUCUCCCCCCAUUCUUCACUCAAAUAAAACUUCUUUUUUAAUAAGUAGGCAAUAAAAAUAAAGCGUAGAAAUAAACUUAAGAAAACGGCUCCUAUAGAGUACUAUAGUCACCGCGGGUGCCUAACACCUUCCCGUAGUGAAAACGACCCCCGAACUUCGAAUCUAAGGGUUUUUUCUCAAUUUUGCCCUUCCCAAGAAAAAAU